CCUACGGGUGGCAGCAGUGGGGAAUAUUGGACAAUGGGGGCAACCCUGAUCCAGCCAUGCCGCGUGUGUGAAGAAGGCCCUCGGGUUGUAAAGCACUUUCAGUGAGGAAGAACGCCUGGUGGUUAAUACCCAUCAGGAAAGACAUCACUCACAGAAGAAGCACCGGCUAACUCCGUGCCAGCAGCCGCGGUAAUACGGAGGGUGCGAGCGUUAAUCGGAAUUACUGGGCGUAAAGCGCGCGUAGGUGGCUUGAUAAGCCGGUUGUGAAAGCCCCGGGCUCAACCUGGGAACGGCAUCCGGAACCGUCAAGCUAGAGUGCAGGAGAGGAAGGUAGAAUUCCCGGUGUAGCGGUGAAAUGCGUAGAGAUCGGGAGGAAUACCAGUGGCGAAGGCGGCCUUCUGGACUGACACUGACACUGAGGUGCGAAAGCGUGGGUAGCAAACAGGAUUAGAUACCCCUGUAGUC
rnacentral:rRNA from 1 species